UCUUUCCUGUCACAGACUGCCAGCGCCCAUGCUCUCUCCCGUGCAUCUCCUCCUCUGGCUCCAGCACUCACCUGAGAUCCGUGCAGGCAGUGUGGUAGCCGCCCCUCCCCUCCAGUCUCUCCUUCACUCAGGGCCCUGAGCCUGUCACUUACAGGCCCAAGCUCCGCCCCCCAGACUGUACGGGGAGCUGCUGCUGAUGCAGGAAGCCUGAUGUACCCUGUCGCUAGGCAACGGACGGCGCGGAGGUGAUCAUGUCAUAGCCGGCGGACGGAGACGUGGCGCUCGACUCACCGUGUGCUGGUGGCAGUAAUUCCUACUUACUUAAGAACUCUAAAACAGUUGAUGGAGUGGAAGUACCGGUCCAUAUAAUUGGGGAUGCAGCUUACCCUUUGAGAAGAUGGGUGAUCAAGGGGUGCACACAACACGGUCAGCUGACCCCAAACCAGAUAAGAUAUACUCACACCCUAAGCUCCGCCAGAAUGGUUGUAGAAAAUGCAUUUGGCAGGUUGAAAGGUCGUUGGCGUUGUCUGUUGAAAAGGAACAAUGUGGACCUUUCGAUGAAGCCUAACAUUGUGGCAGCAUGCUGUAUACUGCACAAUUUCUGCGAGUUUAGGAGGGAGGAAUUCCUAACGGAGUGGACAGUAAAGGACUCUGAAUGUGUCUAUCCUGCACUUGAUACAGAGUCAUAUUUGAGUGACCAUGCCGCAAGUUCAUAACAAAUUAGGGCUGCAAUAAUGGGCAACGUUUCAUCUUUGUUGGUUUAAAUGUUUUUUAGUUUGUUAUAGUUUCCCAAAAAUGUUUAUUGCAAUUCAAUUUCUGUGCCCAUGUUCAACUGCUAUUGUGUGAUACACUUUGUUUUUUGUUGUUGAAAAAUUACAUUUCAGUAGGUUUACAAAACAGGUGUGACACAAUUUUUCUUUUAUUCAAAACAAGCUCUGUAAAUAC